UACAGAGGGUGCAAGCGUUGUUCGGAAUUAUUGGGCGUAAAGCGUGCGCAGGCGGUUUGUUAAGUCUGCUGUGAAAUCCCCGAGCUCAACUUGGGAAUUGCAGUGGAUACUGGCAAGCUGGAGUACGGUAGAGGAAGGUGGAAUUCCCGGUGUAGCAGUGAAAUGCGUAGAGAUCGGGAGGAACACCAGUGGCGAAGGCGGCCUUCUGGACCAGUACUGACGCUCAUGCACGAAAGCGUGGGGAGCAAACAGG
rnacentral:rRNA from 1 species